rnacentral:rRNA from 1 species
ACGGGGUGCAGCAGGCGCGAAAACUUCGCAAUGGGGGCAACCCCGACGAGGGAAUUCCAAGUGCCAGCACUUUGUGUUGGCUGUUCUCCUGUCUAAAAAACAGGAGGAGUAAGGGGCGGGUAAGACGGGUGCCAGCCGCCGCGGUAAUACCCGCGCCCCUAGUGGUGGUCGAUAUUAUUGAGCCUAAAACGUCCGUAGCCGGUCUUCUAAAUCCUUGGGUAAAUCGGGCAGCUUAACUGUCCGAAGUCCGGGGAGACUGGGAGACUUGGGACCGGGAGAGGUCAGAGGUACUUCUGGGGUAGGGGUAAAAUCCUGUAAUCCUGGAAGGACCACCGGUGGCGAAGGCGUCUGACUAGAACGGAUCCGACGGUGAGGGACGAAGCCCUGGGGCGCAAACGGGAUUAGAUACCCCGGUAGUCCAGGGUGUAAACGCUGCGGGCUUGGUGUUGGGGGUCCUUAGUGGGCGCCCAGUGCCGGAGAGAAGUUGUUAAGCCUGCUGCUUGGGGAGUAUGUCCGCAAGGAUGAAACUUAAAGGAAUUGGCGGGGGAGCACA